rnacentral:rRNA from 1 species
UUCUCGAAUUCAGAAGAGCUAUUUAUUUUAUUGUCAUAAAUAUUUUAUAUAGGAAUUGAAACGUUAAUAUAUCUAGUUUCCUCAGAAAGUUUAAUUUUCGUAUACUUUAAGGGCUGAGCUUUGAAUAGGAUUAGAAGUUUUGUUAUAUUUUUUUUAUUGGGACGAUUAUAUGAAUUUUUUUUGUGAAUAUGAUUAAAUUAGUAUAAUGUUGGUAAAAGGAAUUCGGCAAUUGUUCUUCACCUGUUUAUUAAAAACAUGGCCUUUUGAUUAUAAUUUAAGGUCUGGCCUGCCCACUGAGGCCGCGGUAUUUUGACCGUGCAAAGGUAGCAUAAUCAUUAGUUUUUUAAUUGAAAGCUGGAAUGAAUGGUUAGAUGAGGGAACGACUGUCUUUUUCUAAUAGAAUUUUAUUUUUGAGUGAGAAAGCUUAAAUUUUUUUGUUAGACGAGAAGACCCUAUAGAGUUUUAUUUUGGUUGGGGCGACUGAAAAAUUUAAUAAACUUUUGAUUAAUAGAUUAAAUUACCUUAGGGAUAACAGCGUAAUCUUUUUAAGAGUUCUAAUCGAAAAAAGGGUUUGCGACCUCGA